rnacentral:lncRNA from 1 species
AAUAAAAGAAUAAGCUUUGCCAAGCAUAGUUUAAGUAGUAAAACAUAAAUAGUCAAUUAGAUAGUAGUAGAUUUCAGUAUGUACGUCUUUACAUGAACAAAUAUACUAAGAAAAACUACUGUAUCUAUAAAUAACAUGACAAAGUAAAAAUUGUGAUGGCAACAAAUAGCUAAUUUGUCCCCUUCAAAUUUGAAAAUAGGUAAAUAAUAUGAAUGUUUCUUUCAAAAUAUUCCCUUCCAGUGUUACUUUUUUUGAGAGAAAAAUUACGUAGUAAAUUAUUAACAAGAGUUUCAAAAUUCAAUAUCUAAGAAAAUAACCUAAUUUCAAGACAAUGCUUCAUAUUUUCAAAUACAAUGCCCAAAAAAUCAGAUAAUCAGUUGAAGCAAAACCAAUCAUGAAAAGGAAAAACAACUCAUAGGAGAAUAAUAUAUACAUACCCGAAGAGAAUCAACCUGUAGAAAGCCCUAGACAAUUGUUGUUUAAGAUUCAAUCAAUGGAAUGUUUGCAAUGAGUUUUUGACCACCUUUCUCCGUAUAGACCAAACAAUAAAAGUAAAUUUACAAAAGCAAUAAUAACAAUUUGAAUAUCUGUAAAUCUACGGCAAAUAUUGAAGGAAAAUCGGAAAACAAAGGAGAAAAAACAUAGUGGUAAAAAUGAGAUCGAAAAUUAGGGAAAAAAAGAAUUCUCAACAAGAAUAGGUACAUAUUUCACAAUCAAUUGGCAUAUACCUCUGUUGAUAUGUGGUCGGAUUUCAAGAAAUAUGAAAACUCCCUUGAGAAAAGGGUAAAAGACGUGGAUAAAAUUUGGGUAAAGUUAAGGCAAAUAAAUAAUAUCAAUGGCCUGGUUGGGACAGCUGCUGUUUCAGGUAGGAUUGCACCUUAAGCCACUCCCAGAAUGAUAUUAAACAAGUCCAAAAGCAUUUUCUUAAUCUUAAAGGCAACUUUUUUACUUUUCAAAAACCACGCCAAAUGAACCCUAAACACAUGACCAGCCAUUGUAUUGACAAAUAAUCUUAGCUGCAGAACACUAAAGCAUUACAAAUGUGCAAAAACCAAAUAUUUCAUUGUGUUAACCGAUGCCUUCAAAAUAAUAAGCAUAAUUUACACAAAUCAAAUCGCCAAGUUUUGUGAACGUAAGCAUCUAUUUCUAUUUCCCUAGCAGGCUGGCAUACUUUGAUAUCCUUAUCUUUUUUUGUUCACACUUCUUAGUAUAGGCCAGAGAUAUUCAAUAUUUCUUUUACACAAGCACGGAUAAUCACGAGAAUAAAUCCAACCUUAGAUUUUAAUCAUCCAAUAGGUUCAGAAUAAUGUGAUCAAAUCGGGUGGGUAUGCAACGUACUCAAAAAGAUGAAAUCCAAUCCACAAUUCUAUAUUUUUUUAAGAAGCCAAAAAUUAGAAACACCAACAAAUCUUUAAGAAUCAAAAAAAUAUUUGGAAACCGGAACAUAGAUAACCUCAAAAACUCAUGACUCAGAAUAUUAUCCAAAAAUAAAAAAUAAAAAUCAAACACAAUUAAAAAAAAAAAGGCUAUAAUUACAAUGAUGCUGCUAACUUGCCUUAAAAUUUUAAUCGUGGAAACAAAGAGGAAUAUGCAUCUACGUGGAAGAAGGGAGAAAUGGAUGAAUUUGCAGUGAUAUUGAGAAAAGAGACGGUCAAAUUCUUGGAGAGGCAGAUAGAAUUAUUUUGCAAUUUGUGAGAGGUGAUUUGGAGAGAGAAGGGUUUUGGUUGAGGAAGAUGAAGAGCUCUCCAAAAAUAGGGAACGUGUUUUGGUGGGAGGCCAAAG